rnacentral:lncRNA from 1 species
UGGUGCCGUGAAGUGUUUGAACUGAACUGAAGUGCCGAAGUGGUAGAGGUGUAGUAGGAAGUGUGGAGAGAAAAUUUAGGGAUUUGGAUAGUGGGAGUGGUUGGAUGGUUUUAGGAGAAAUUUGAGGGAUUUAGGGAUAAUGAGGCUGAAUUUUCUUUUUUAUUUUGUUUUUUUUCUUUUUUUAUUUUGUUAUUUUCAAAUUCCCAAAGUUCUUCCAUCAUUCUGUUGUUUCUUCUCCCCCAGCUCUGCUGAAUCUCUACCAAAGUUUCUUUUUCUGCUCCAUUCUUGUCAAUUUUGGCCAUUAGUUUACCUUUUCUCUUUUCGUUUGCCAGAGUUGCAC